ensembl:lncRNA
AAGUCACUUCAGUCGUGUCCGACUCUGUGCGACCCCAUAGACGGCAGCCCACCAGGCUCCCCCGUCCCUGGGAUUCUCCAGGCAAGAACACUGGAGUGGGUUGCCAUUUCCUUCUCCAAUGCACGAAAGUGAAAAGUGAAAGUGAAGUCGCUCAGUCGUGUCUGACUCUUAGCGACCCCAUGGACUGCAGCCCACCAGACUCCUCCGUCCAUGGGAUUUUCCAGGCAAGAGUACUGGAGUGGGGUGCCACUGUCUUCUCCGAAAGCAUCACUGCUGUCUCUCGUUCUUACGAAGCAACGUGGUUGUUUUAAGAAGAAGAGAGAAACGAUUCUAGCUUUAGCUGUGGGAACGUUCCUGCUUGCUGGCCUGACUCGACCAUUGGCUGGUCUGGGGUAAAAGUACAAAGCUGCCAGGAGCUGUCCACAGGAUUCCAUGUGUAUGAAUAUGCCAUCGACACGGCAGAAGAGGAAAGCCGCGGAGUGGUACCAGCUCCCACAGCAGCAUUCUCUGUAUUUCCUUGGGAAAACUGAAGCAGCCAGAGAUCUCCCAUGUGUUCUCAGCACCCCAUCUCCCGGACCGCCUCUCUGCAGCCUGUAGUGCCCCCUCUUAGACCAUUCCUGCUCAGUCUGCCCUCUGUGGCAGCCCUUCUUGGGCACGGCACCCACCCCCUAUAAUCUGCUCUAGGAACUUUCUCUGCAAAUCCCUCCCCUUGCUCCUGCUUUAACAUUUCUUUUCUGCACAACCACAUUUAAUAUUUUCCAUCUUGAAAGAGCCCUCCCCCAAUGCCACAGUCCCUUCUACCUCUGACCUUGCUUCUCUUUGCAGCAAAUCUCAGAAGUGAUAAUUACACUUACCGUCUCCACAUCCUUUACUUUUCUCCUCUCUUGAACCAACUCCAAUCAACUUCUUGUCCCUCUGCUGAACUGAGACAGCUGAAGGCUUUCACAGGUGUUUACCAACCCAGUGGUCAAGGUUUUAUUGUCUUACUCAGCCCAUAGGCUGUCUUCGACACAGCUCAUGUUCUCCUUCACACGUCUCCUUCACUGGCUUCCAGAAGGCGGCUGUCUCUCACUCCUUCUCCUGUAUCCUUGGUCAUUUCUUCUCCUUUGCUCUCCUCACCUUAAUUUUUGUGGACUCCAUGGGCAUGAAGUUAUAUUUUUUCUCAAGCUACUUCUGCUUCCUAGGUGGACUCAUCUUCCAAGGGCUCUUGCCCAGCUCAGAUCUUCUAUACUCAGUGUCCUAUUUAACAUCUCCAUCCAGAUGUUUACCAGGCUUCCCAAAACGUAACACUCACACUCUCCCAUCUUUCGGAAAGGUAAAAUCUUCUUCCAGCCUCUCAAGCCAAAAUCCUCAGUUAUUCCUGACUCUCCUCACACCCAGGUCCACACCUUCAGCACAUUCUGACAGUUCUUCCUUUGUCCUAUGAUUCAAACAAUCUGAGCACCUCUGACAACUCCCACUACUACGACAGUUUUUCAGCUCAUUAUAAAUUCUCACUUGGACUUUCCCAAUUGUUUCUUGUUAUCCUAGCAUCUGAACUGGCCCCUUUAUGGUGCACACAUCACACACAACCAGGAGGAUCCUUUUAAAACCUAAGUCAGAUCAUGACACUACUCUGCAAAAGAGACCUCGAGGGCUCCGUCUCAGCAGAGGUGUCUGGCCUCAUUUCCCAUCGCUGGCCUCUUUGCUCUGUUUGCUCCUCUGAGAGGAGGAUGCCGCAGGGCCUUUGAAUGUGAGCUCCCUGUGCUGUACUCAGGCCAUCAGUUCUCUCCCUGCUUCGUUCUUCUCCACAGCCCUUUCUAGCACCUGGAAAAUCAUGCCUUCUUUUCUUUAUCUGUCUCCCCAAACAAGAUGUUAAGCGUCCCAAGGGGAGAAGCUGUGUUUUGCUCAUUAUUAUACCCUCAAGGCCUGGAACAAUGCUUGGAAAAUGAUAGGCUUCUGAAA